CGGUAUUUAUAAAGAUAUAGCUGCCACUUGCACAGCUACUAGAAGACAGAAGGAACUUGAACUACAAGUAUUAACUGGUCCUGUUAGGGGAUGGGAAGGACCUAGUCUUACAAGUUUAGGUGAGAUCAUCUACAUGGGAAGUGUAGCAGUUGGAUCAAAUCAUCACGACAGAAUUUUUGUAUUAUUUCCCACCACAUUAGUUAUACUCUCAGUCAGUCAUAGGUUAAGUGCCUUUAUCUAUGAGGGAAAAUUAUUCCUUUCCACGGUCUUAUAGUCACCCGCUUAGAAGACACGGACGGAGUAAAAAACGCCUUUGAUAUUAGCGCUCCUAUGAUCGACAAACGUAUUGUCAUCUGUCA